rnacentral:rRNA from 1 species
GCAAAACGCGAAGAACCUUACCAGGUCUUGACAUCCCUCUGAAUACGCCAGAGAUGGCGUAGGCCCUUCGGGGACAGAGGAGACAGGUGGUGCAUGGUUGUCGUCAGCUCGUGUCAUGAGAUGUUGGGUUAAGUCCCGCAACGAGCGCAACCCUUAGGUCUAGUUGCCAGCACUUCGGGUGGGCACUCUAGAGCGACUGCCGGUGACAAACCGGAGGAAGGCGGGGAUGACGUCAAAUCAUCAUGCCCCUUAUGACCUGGGCUACACACGUGCUACAAUGGCCGGUACAAAGGGCAGCGAAGCCGCGAGGCGGAGCCAAUCCCAAAAAGCCGGUCUCAGUUCGGAUUGCAGGCUGCAACUCGCCUGCAUGAAGUCGGAAUUGCUAGUAAUCGCGGAUCAGCAUGCCGCGGUGAAUACGUUCCCGGGUCUUGUACACACCG